UACAGAGGGUGCGAGCGUUAAUCGGAAUUACUGGGCGUAAAGCGCGCGUAGGCGGCUUGGCAAGUCGGAUGUGAAAUCCCCGGGCUUAACCUGGGAACUGCAUUCGGGACUGCAUUGCUAGAGUAUGGGAGAGGGAAGUGGAAUUUCAGGUGUAGCGGUGAAAUGCGUAGAUAUCUGAAGGAACAUCAGUGGCGAAAGCGACUUCCUGGACCAAUACUGACGUUCAGGCACGAAAGCGUGGGGAGCAAACAGG
rnacentral:rRNA from 1 species